rnacentral:lncRNA from 1 species
UUUGUUUAAUAGUGGCAGGACAAAUAUCAUCCGUCGUCUGCUUAAAACUCUUCACUGUGUUGAUGAUGGAGAAAGAGUCGUACACUCACGAACCGGCCACCGGCGGCCAGUUUGCAUGUCCUUCGCGCUUUAAGGUUGCGGGGAACAUUACGUAAAACUGUCAAUGCGGUGGUGUAGUUGGGUGAGAACUGAACGUGUUGCAACAUUAUCAAGCAGACCAAUCCCCAGCACCAUCAACCUAAAGAAGGAAAGGUCCAUUUCCUUCACUUUCGAAGGUCACGAGAAACAUAACGUAAAACGUGUCAUGCGACUGCGGAGAGGCUGGGUGAGGACGACACGUGUUGCACCAUUAUCAAGCAGUAAACUAUGGCGUUGUGCUGCUGUUGGGUGUUGAAUCGCUGACGGUUGGGUCGACCACUGGUGUACCGAUGUCUCCUGGUCCUGUGUAUGGUGGAUAUCAAAGCUCAACAUUGCAGUUAAUACUCAUCAUCAACCAAUGCUGCUCCAGCUUACACCACCAAGGCUUCAGAGUAUUACAAGUUGCAUUAAAGGAGAGAAAAGGCUUUUCCGGCACGACAACAACUUCCGCGCACAAUUUGUCACCAACUGCCUUCUUCAUCGUAUAAAGCGUAAACUGUGGCCUCGUGCUGCUGUUGGUUGCUGUCUUGAAAUACUACACCAUGCACCGAGGCUUCAAAGUAUUACACUACAAUUUAUGCCGCCGCGAGCUGUAUAACCAAAGAGCCUGAACCCACCCCCCAUCAACUUCCAAUUUGCAUGUCCUUCACGCUUGAAGGUCGCGGAGAUCUUUACGUAUAAUAGCCGUUAGGCUUAGGAGAGGGGUCAGGGUGAGAAAAAGUCGUAUAAAUGGCAAGAGAAAAGUCGAAGGUAUCAGUCGAGUGAGUAUCUCCAUCACGGCAACAACUGCGGCCCACUAUUUGUCACCAACUGCCUUCUUCAUUAUACAACCAGUUCGCAAUCAUGGUUAACUCUGGCGCCGUGCUGCUGUUUGGUGUUGUAUCGUUGAAGGUUGGGUCGACCACGGGUUUACUGAUGUUUUCUGGUUAUGGUGGAGACCAAGCAACAGCAGUGAAAGAAUACUACACCACGCCGCCGCCUUACUACGCAAUGAAGUCAACAUACGCAACAUCUACUUACAACACCGAGGCCCCCCAAGUGCUACACCACCAAUGCUCAAGAGUUACGCUUCAAAUUACGCUGCCCCGAGUUACAUCACCAAAGCGCCUGAGUACUACAUCACCGAGGCACUACAACUGAGGCGGUGAAGUACUACGUAGCCCAGGCUUACAACACGGCAGCUGCUCCUUUAUACUACGUUGAACUGAAAUACUACACCAAGGCUGCAGUUAACUACGCCAGAACCUACGCUACACCUAGCUACUAUGACGAAGCCCCCAACUACUACACCGAAGAGGCCGCAUGUUACACAUCAACGUACAGUGCCCUAGUUUACUACACCGAGGAACCCAAGUAUUAAUCUGCUCCAAGCUACUACCAAACUGAGGCUCCUGUUUGCUACACCAAGGCCACCGAGUACUACACUACAACCAAACGUUAACUAUGGCGUCGUGCUGCUGUUAGUUGUAUUAUCCUUGAUGGCUGGGUUGACUACUGGUGUACCGAUGUCUCCUGGGUAUGGCGGAUACCAAACCGCAACGCCGGCAUCUUACUACAC